CAGUAGCCGCGGUAAUACGGAGGGUGCAAGCGUUAAUCGGAAUUACUGGGCGUAAAGCGCACGCAGGCGGCUUCUUAAGUCGGAUGUGAAAUCCCUGAGCUUAACUUAGGAAUUGCAUUCGAUACUGGGAAGCUAGAGUAUGGGAGAGGAUGGUAGAAUUCCAGGUGUAGCGGUGAAAUGCGUAGAGAUCUGGAGGAAUACCGAUGGCGAAGGCAGCCAUCUGGCCUAAUACUGACGCUGAGGUACGAAAGCAUGGGGAGCAAACAGGAUUAGAUACCCCGGUAGUCCCUGUCUCUUAUAC
rnacentral:rRNA from 1 species